rnacentral:tRNA from 1 species
UGGAAACGUGGCUGAGUGGUCGAAAGCGCACGCCUGGAAAGUGUGUAUACGUUAAUAGCGUAUCGAGGGUUCGAAUCCCUCCGUUUCCGCCAA